rnacentral:rRNA from 1 species
GUCAAGUCAUCAUGCCCCUUAUGUCCAGGGCUUCACGCAUGCUACAAUGGCCGGUACAGAGGGCUGCGAUGUCGUGAGGCGGAGCGAAUCUCUUAAAGCCGGUCUCAGUUCGGAUUGGGGGCUGCAACUCGCCCCCAUGAAGGCGGAGUUGCUAGUAACCGCAGGUCAGCCAUACUGCGGUGAAUAUGUUCCCGGGCCUU